rnacentral:rRNA from 1 species
GCAUCUUCAACGGUUGGAAAGAUUUUUUGGUCAGGGAUGAGCUCGCGGCCUAUCAGCUUGUUGGUGAGGUAAUGGCUCACCAAGGCAUCGACGGGUAGCCGGCCUGAGAGGGUGACCGGCCACACUGGGACUGAGACACGGCCCAGACUCCUACGGGAGGCAGCAGUGGGGAAUAUUGCACAAUGGGCGCAAGCCUGAUGCAGCAACGCCGCGUGAGGGAUGACGGCCUUCGGGUUGUAAACCUCUUUUAGCAGGGAAGAAGCGAAAGUGACGGUACCUGCAGAAAAAGCGCCGGCUAACUACGUGCCAGCAGCCGCGGUAAUACGUAGGGCGCAAGCGUUAUCCGGAAUUAUUGGGCGUAAAGAGCUCGUAGGCGGUUUGUCGCGUCUGCUGUGAAAUCCCGAGGCUCAACUUCGGGUCUGCAGUGGGUACGGGCAGACUAGAGUGCGGUAGGGGAGAUUGGAAUUCCUGGUGUAGCGGUGGAAUGCGCAGAUAUCAGGAGGAACACCGAUGGCGAAGGCAGAUCUCUGGGCCGUAACUGACGCUGAGGAGCGAAAGGGUGGGGAGCAAACAGGCUUAGAUACCCUGGUAGUCCACCCCGUAAACGUUGGGAACUAGUUGUGGGGUCCAUUCCACGGAUUCCGUGACGCAGCU